rnacentral:lncRNA from 1 species
CACGCCAACCGGAGGGGUCGCGAACCCACCGGGGCCUCCGGGAGAGGAGCCACCCGAGGGUGGGGUUUCCAAAAAACACCAGGCUGCUGCAACAGCGCCUGCAGCUUAUCUGCUGACAGCAGAAACCGGCCGUGAGUUUCCCCACGCCUGCCGCUCUCGGUGGGGCUGCCGGGGGCACGGCCGGAGGCCGGGGAAGAGCCGGGAUUUCUGCGCUUGGGUCACCAGAAACCUGCCGUGACGGUGCCGCCGUGCCUCCGGGCACCCAGGCGAGAUGAGUUCACUUCCUCCAGCAGUGUCCGGUAGCCGAGAUUGCAAAACACAUUCAAAUGUGGCUUUAGUUCAUGGGACAUCUUCUUCCGCAACGCCAACGCCGGAGCUGCUCCAGGCACCGCUUACCAAAGCCCCCCCCCCCACUGAGCACCAGCCUUUCUGCACUGUCACAAGCACAGUUCCUGGUUCAAGCACAGCCCAACGUAGACAAACUGGUGGAAGACCACCUCGCAGUGCAAUCUCUCAUCAGGGCAUACCAGGUAAGGAGCUCGCCGUGUGCAGUUCGCCCUUUGCAGCCCCCCCAGCAGCUCGGGCACCCCUGCCCCUGGUGGCUUCGUGCUGGAUGCAUGGCGCACGGGUUGUGUGUGUGCACCUCGGGCUUUUAACAUCUGCUGACCUGCUGGGGCAGAUGCUCAGCUGAUGGCUCUUAGACAAUAGGAAGAUUAAAGCCAUUGUCCCCCGAUCAGAGCAGUUCUGUAGCAGUGCUGCCAGCCAGGAGCUGCGGGAGGGGGCCCCGUUCCCACGCCGGGGCUGGGGUGUGAGCGCCGCGCUGCGCUUUGCUUCCGCCUCCUGCCUCGCUCAGAAGUAGCGUGGGACGGCCGUCCUGCUUCCCGUGGCUCAAGUGACAGAUCUCAGGUCCCGAAAUAGAAGCUCAGGAAACGUUUCCUUGCGAUCUGCAAAGUGGGAGAAGGCUGCGGCGCCACCGGACUGAAGCUCAGACCAACGCUGCCAAAAUCAACGUCUCGGGAGAAGCAAGUUCUGAGCAGAAAGGAAACAUCCGCUGGCUGAAGGAGCAGCGUGUGCACAAAUGCCAUGGCCAGUGUUUUACUCGGGAGGGCGCGGAGCUGUGUCUCUCUGCCUGUCGUUCUUUCACCUUUGGUUGCAGCCUGGUUUGCCCAGAGUGAGCUUCGCUGGGGACUGCGGUGGGAAGUUCCCAAACCCAGCCACAGUGGAGGUGACCUUAGCUCUGCCAUGCCCCGUGUCACCUGCUGCUGUAAAGAAGCACUCGCUGCAGGUCAGGAUCCUGCUCAGGUAUCGGAAAAACCCAAGGUACUGGGCCACAGGUUAAGUCCAAAGGUCUGCCCAGCCUGCGCCCUGAUGGUCCAAAGAAAGUGCCCCAGCCCGGCUCUCCUCCGCACCCAAGUCCUGCUGGGGCAUUGCUCUGCUUUUCUUGGGCACGGUGCAGCCAGGGCUUGUUUGUGAGCACCUGCACCGUGCCUUCUGGCCGGGAUUGUGGGAGGUGACUGCCCUGCUGGCUUUGAACCCCAGGCGAGUGGUUUCUAAGCGCCGUGCGUCGCCUGCUGGCUCAGCAAGCAGGUGGCUGCUGCGAUAAAUCAAGCAGUGCACGGUGUGGGCUGGAGGCAGCGACUUCCGACCAGCAAUUUGAACCCCAAAUCCUCAAUCUCUUCUGCAUUCCCUCCGCUCCUCAGUCUCUGAAAUGGCGGUGCUGGGAGGUGGUUGCUCUUGGCCUUUUUUUUUCUAACCCUUGUUGAGGAAUGUGCCUCCGGUUCUGCACCGGUGCCACUGCACGGCUGCAGCCAUCGUGGCCGUGAGCUGCCGUGGUUGCUCUGGAGGGGGAGUUGAGCGUGGUGUGGGGAGGUAGGCGAGGGCAGAAGGCCCUGCCGGUGCUGUGUCACCUCCUGAAACACCAGGCAGUUAAUUUCUGAAACCGGAUCGAGCUGGAGUGUCCGUGCAGUUAGAGGUGAGCCGUGCCCCUGCUCUGCCGUAGCUCGUGGUAGCACCAGCGCUGGCUUGUUCCUUAAUUGUAGCCGUGCUUACGUGUCCAAUUCAUCAUUUCCUUUGAAAUAACUGGUGUGGUCUUGUUCCGAGCUGGGGAAAACAAUCUGCCUUUGUGUCCCUGUCACGAGGGCGGCCGUGCCACCCACCUGGCGGGACCUCCGCCGCUGGCUGCUCCCACGGCUGCCGACGAAGCUCCGUGUGGCAGCGCCCUGAAAAAAAUGAAAAAAAGCGUGGCUCCUGCUGGGAAAAGGCCUCUUCCUCGUUCCCACAAGAAUUUGGGGGUUCGCUGCGUCCUGCUGAGCAGAUCUCUGGACUGGUCACCGAAUGCUCCUUGCCUCGCCCCUGCUCACCAGCCCUGCUCCCAGCCAGGGCACCCAGCCCCAGGCGUCUGCCCCAUGGACGUGGGAGCAGCACAGUGAGCUCGUGUCCUGCCCCUAAGCCUCGGGAUAGUCCUCAUGCUCUGCUGCAAGUCAGAUGAGCAAAUAAACGCAUCUGGGACAAAGGGGGCCCCCGAGCA